UCAGGCCUAACACAUGCAAGUCGAGCGAGGUAGCGAUACCUAGCGGCGGACGGGUGAGUAACGCGUGGGAUCGUACCCUUUGGUUCGGAAUAGCCCUGGGAAACUGGGAGUAAUACCGGAUACGGUCGAGAGACGAAAGAUUUAUCGCCGAAGGAUCGGCCCGCGUUGGAUUAGGUAGUUGGUGGGGUAAUGGCCUACCAAGCCGACGAUCCAUAGCUGGUUUGAGAGGAUGAUCAGCCACACUGGGACUGAGACACGGCCCAGACUCCUACGGGAGGCAGCAGUGGGGAAUCUUAGACGAUGGGCGCAAGCCUGAUCUAGCCAUGCCGCGUGAUAGAGAGAGGCCUUAGGGUUGUAAAGCUCUUCAGGGGGAAGAUAAUGA
rnacentral:rRNA from 1 species